rnacentral:rRNA from 1 species
UACGUAGGGACCGAGCGUUGUCCGGAAUCAUUGGGCGUAAAGAGCGUGUAGGCGGCCCUUUAAGUCCUGCGUGAAAUCCUGCGGCUCAACCGCAGACGGUCGUGGGAAACUGGAGGGCUAGAGUGCGGGAGAGGAGAGUGGAAUUCCCGGUGUAGCGGUGAAAUGCGCAGAUAUCGGGAAGAACACCCGUGGCGAAGGCGGCUCUCUGGAACGCAACUGACGCUGAGACGCGAAAGCGUGGGGAGCGAACAGG